rnacentral:rRNA from 1 species
CCAUACCACUUUAACAUGCCCAAUCUUACCUGAUCCCAUGAAGCUAAACAGCGUUGGCCCUGAUUAGUACUUGGAUGGGAGACCAGAGAGGUAAGAUAAAGGAAUGGUGUGGG